GCACAGAGUUAGCCGUGGCUUAUUCUACCUAUACGGUCAAACUCAAGGAUUGUUCACCCUUGAGUCUUCAUCUAGGUCUAAAGAAGUUUACAAUCCGAAGACCUUCAUCCUUCACGCGGUGUCGCUCCAUCAGGCUUUCGCCCAUUGUGGAAUAUUCCAAACUGCUGCCUCCCGUAGGAGUCUGGGCCGUAUCUCAGUCCCAGUGUGGCCGAUCACCCUCUCAGGCCGGCUAACCAUCGUAGCCUUGGUGGGCCAUUACCCCGCCAACUAGCUAAUGGUGCUUGAGCCAAUCUCCAAGUGAUAGCUUAUAAAUAGAGGCCAUCUUUAACCUCACUUCCCGAAGGAAGCGUGGUCUCAUCCGGUAUUAGCACGCCUUUCGGCGCGUUAUCCCAAUCUUGGAGGGAUGUUACCCAAGUAUUACUCACCCGUUCGCCGCUUUACUCACCCUUGCGGGCUUUCACGCUCGACUUGCAUGUCUAAGACGCACCGCCAACGUUUGUC
rnacentral:rRNA from 1 species